UACGGGGGGAGCAAGCGUUGUUCGGAUUUACUGGGCGUAAAGGGCGCGUAGGCGGCCACCGCAAGUCGACUGUGAAAUCUCCGGGCUUAACCCGGAAAGGUCAACCGAUACUGCGGGGCUAGAGUGCAGAAGGGGCAACCGGAAUUCUCGGUGUAGCGGUGAAAUGCGUAGAUAUCGAGAGGAACACCUGCGGCGAAGGCGGGUUGCUGGGCUGACACUGACGCUGAGGCGCGAAAGCUAGGGGAGCGAACGGG
rnacentral:rRNA from 1 species